rnacentral:rRNA from 1 species
AGUAACAACCAUUUGAGUCUGGGAUUUCUGAAUGGGGAAACCCACUUACAUAAGUAAGUAUCAUUAACUGAAUACAUAGGUUAAUGAGGCGAACCGGGGGAACUGAAACAUCUAAGUACCCCGAGGAAAAGAAAUCAACCGAGAUUCCGAAAGUAGCGGCGAGCGAAAUUGGACUAGCCCUUAAGCUUUACACGCGUUAGACGAACGGUCUGGAAAGUCCGACGAUACAGGGUGAUAGUCCCGUAGUUGACGACGUGUGUUCAGUGAAAUCGAGUAGGGCGGGACACGUGAUAUC